rnacentral:lncRNA from 10 species
GGCCGGGCACACCCGGAAGCCGCCUCGGGUUUUCUAGCGGAGCGCCGGAUUAGGCAGUCCCCGCCCCGGUGCCCCUGAUUGGGUAGGGCCUCAGGCCCCGCCCCCUCAGACUCUUAGUGACAGACUUAUUAACCUUCAUGGCCUCUGGUCUUCUGAGGAAGCAGUCUGAGGAGCCCGAGUUUUGAAAAGGGAAGCAAUCCUCCAAGGCUGCGAUUUCCACAGAAAUCACAUGUGAGCCACAGGUGUCAUUUUAAAAUUUCUAGUAGCAACAGAAACGAGGAAUAAACAGGGUGAUGAGGGGUCUGGCCAUCACCACCACCUGCCUCCUGAGCAUGCUCCAGGCCAUCACCAUCAGCCCUAGCAUCUUGUGGCAUGAGAGGUGAUACCAGAGCCUUCGCAACACCAGCCGCUCCCCAAGAGCCUCCCCAGAGAAAAGGGCCAUGCAGACCAGCCUGUGUCUUCUGGAACUGGAACACGGACUACCCACCCCUAUGUUGAGGCAGCUUCUGACAGGCCUUACUGCUUACGGUCAUCGGUCAUCAGCCCACCCGCUUGCAUCUCCAGCUGCAAGUCACUCUGGGCCCAGUUCUCAGACAAGGCCAAGUCGGCCACACCAGGGGCUCUCUGGGGAGCCUGGAGGAAGUUUGACUCUUCAGUCUGCUGCAUCUCAGCCAGGAGUUCAUCCAUCUUGAAGAAGCUCACACCUGGAAUUCCAGCAUUUUGGAAGGCUGAGGUGGGAGAACUGCUUGAGACCGAGUUCAAGACCAGCUUGAGUAACACGGUGCUCAACAUCACCGGUCAUCAAACAACUGCAACUCGAAACCACGAUGAGACAUCACCUCACACCUGUUUGGAUGGCAAAUAUCAAAAAGAAGAGAGAUGUGUAUUAUUCAAGGGAUGGACAAAAGCCCUGACUUCACUACUGCAUAAUCUCUCCACUUAAGAAAAUUAAUUUAUACCCUAAAUUCAUACAAAUAAAAAAAUCUACAAAAGAGAUAAUGUGGCAUAUACAUAAGAUUGAUAUUAUCAGCCUUAAAGGAGAUAUUGUCACAUUGUAUGAUAAGGAUAAAGCUUGAGAAUAUUAUGUUAACUGAAAUAAGCCAGUACAAGUAUUGACACAGGUGUGAAGAAAACUAAAUUCCAUAUGUUGUUGCUGUGUUGUAAACUGAUAGAGCCAUUAGCAAAACCAGUAUGGAGGUUCUUAAUUGAAAAAUGAAAAAGUAAAACUACCAUAUAAUUCAUCAAUCCCACUUCUGUGUAAAUAACCAAAGGAAAUAAAAUAAUUAUC